GUAGCCAAGCUGCUUACUUGCUGUAACGCACCGUGUCAAAGACCUGGCUCCUUAUUAGACAGUGCUUUUAAAAAGUGUUUCUCUUGAAAACAUAAUGGUAAUUUUUUUUUUUACCAGUUCAGUGCUCCUUCAUUUUUUUUUUCUUCUACUUUUAUAUGAAGCUGUUCUGGCAUCCCCUGUCAGAGAAAAUGUUAAAUGCUUUUAGAAAAAUAUUUGUUCUGAUGGAAUUUAUGAUGUGAUCUGUUAUUCAAAUUUAUGGUUAGCUUAACAUGGUAGGCUAGAUGAAAUGGCUCCUGAUGACAUCGUGGCAAUCACAUAAAGCCAUACCUAGGCAUGUUUAGACAGCUUAUCAAAAAGUGUUUGGAAACUGAGAGUAGGUAUAAUAAAAUGCAAAGAAGAGUUGGAAAGAUCUCUGGGUAAAAAAACAACACACACCAAAGCCCUAAACUAUAAGACAAGUUUAUAUACAGCCUAUAGGAGUGUUUGUGCUACCCCCAGGCAGAAAGACACUGACUUUGAAGUCAGGCUUGGAGAGGACACGUAAAAGGUUCUUAGUGCUUCUUUUUGGCAGUGGUGAAAAAAGGAAUCUGAACAUGUUUGUUGUGUCCAAACCACUCCAGCAGACAAGGAAAAAGAAAAGAUCUGUGGUUUCUCUUCUUUCAGGAGCCUGGGUUCCCAGCUGCGAGAUGCCUGCAGGCACUGCCAUGCUGAAUGCGCGUGGGGCCUACACAGCGGGGCCUACACAACAUGGAGCCCGCUCCUGCCCCGUCGCCUUCCCUGGCAGCGGUGGUGCUGCCUCAUGGGGAUGGCUGCUGUAUACAGCACUGCUCUGCUCAGCCAGGUAGAACGAUCAGGUGAAGCUGAAAUCUGUGGAAGUGUGAAGAAAGAGUGAAUGUGACAGAAGUGAGACUGAGGUGCAAUUAGAUAUUCUUCUUGGAGAACAUAUAUGGAGAACCUAUAUGCAGGUGGUUACUUCAGACAAUCUGUUCAGAGAUGUGUAUAAAUCACAGCACAGAAGUGGAUCAUGAAUAGCGAAGGUACGUGCUGCUUUUCAUGUAAACUUUAUGGAGGCAUGUGAAAAUGUAAGCAGGAGGGGGUGAUA
rnacentral:lncRNA from 1 species